CCCACCAGGAGGCUAACGGCACGGUGUGGUACCAGGUGGAGCGAAGGGAGGGACGCUGUGGAAACACUCUGGAGACCAACAGCACCCAUGCUGUCUACUCCAACAGCUUAUUUGUUUACCCAUUAAAUGCAAGAAACGAGUCUCUCUCCCAACCCCUGAGCAUUCCAUUCUCCUGUGCCUAUCCCCUGGAGACAGAGAGCAGCCUGGAUGUGGCCAUCAAACCCUACCUGCUGACGGAGGGUGGAGUUUCAGGUUUAGUGCCAAGGCCGAAUCCUUCAUGUCUCUGUAUCGAAACG